AACACACCCUUGGUCUAGAUUCGGUAACUUACUUUCUCAUGGAUCCCGUGUUUGUCACAGGCCUAGCCUUGUGAUCUGCGUGGAGGAUCAUUAUCUCCAGACUUACUUAUGCAGCCCAGUCCCUACAUCUUGACAACAAAAUAGGUAGGCCAGUUGAGAACAAGUUCUCAUUUACAACUGUGACCUGUCCAAGAUAAAGCAAGCAGGUGGACUCCAAUCAAGUUGUAGAAACAUCUCAAAGAUGAUCAAUGGAAACAGGAUGCACCUGAACUCAAUUUGAAGUCUGAAUACUUACGUAAAUAAGAUGGCAGUGGGGUGAACAGGCUCGGGUGGUUGAGGUCGUUGUUGAUUUUCUUGGCCUUCCUGUGGCACCGGGUGCUGUAGAUGUCCUGGAGGGCAGGCAGUAUGCCCCAAGUCAUUCGUUGCGCUGAUGCACCACCCUCUGGAAAGCCCUGCGGUUGCGGUAGGUGCAAUUGCUGUACCAGGGGGUGAUACAGCUCGACAGGAUGCUCUCAAUGGUGCAUCUGUAGACGUUUGAGAGGGUCUUAGGGGCCAAGACGAAUUUCUACAGCCUCCUGAGGUUGAAGAGACACUUUUGUGCCUUCUUCACCACACUGUCUGUGUGGAUGGACCAAUUCAGGUUGUAAGUGUACACCGACGAACUUGAAGCUUUUCACCCUCUCCACUGCAGCACCGUCGAUGUCGAUUGGGGCGCGCUCUCGCUGCUGUUUCCUGAAGUUCACGAUCAGCUCCUUCAUUUUGUUGACGUUUAGGGAGAGGUUAUUUUCCUGCCACCAAUCCACCAGGGCCCUCACCUCCUCCCUAUAGGCUGUAUCGUCAUUGUUGGUAAACAGGCCUACCACUGUUGUGUCAUCAGCAAACUUGAUGAUUGAGUUGGAGUGAGUUGGAGACGUCUGUGACCACGCAGUCAUGGGUGAACAGGGAGUACAUGAGGGGGCUGAGCACGCACCCUUGUGGGGCCCCCAGAGGUGUUGUUGCCUACCUUCACCACCUGAGGUCGUCCUAACAGGAAGUAGUUGCACAAUCAUCCCCUAAUCAUGAUCAUCACUUUAGAAUGCAAUUUGAUUAAUCAGCUAUGUUUGCUAGGGAUGGAGAAAAAGUGUGACACCAAUCAGGCCCUCGAGGACUGGAGUUUCCCACCACUGUUCUAGGGUGUCGGGUAAGGUGGAGCCGAUAUGAUCCUUAACUAGCCUCCCAAAGCACUCCAUGAUGACAGAAGUGAGUGUCAGGGGCGAUAGUGAUUUAGUUCAGUUACCUUCAUUUUCUUGGGUACAGGAACACAUUUUUUUUGUACCGUAGCUGCACCUAUGGACAUAGGCUGCUGGGAACUUCUUUUAAACAACAUUUAAGAGGGUCUUUAAUGUUGGUAGAAGUCUAUGAAAAUGCCAAAAAAAGUAAAAUUGACCAUAUUUGUUGACAAUUUUGACCAUUCGAUCAAAAGCAUAAUCCAUUGGAUUAUCCACAUUCUAACCUGAUUUGGACUGAGAGCUCUAGAGUUGCUAGACUGAAAUGGCUUGAGUCUAGAAUCUACUCCACCCUGGAGGUCCUCCCUGGCUCUCUCUAAUGUUUCUUGGAGGACUUCUACCAAGAAGAACACUGAGACAUCACUCAUUCAUUUACCUACCACCUACUAGGGAUUCUACAAUAAAUGGCCUUGAUAUCAGCUAUACCAGGUCAAGUACGAUAGUUACAUUAGACAGACAGACAUGAUGCAGUCUAGAUGGUAAUGUAUGAAUGGAUUUCGAGCUACAUUUUACAUUUUAGGGUAAUGCCAUGCUCAAGGGCACAUCGACAGAAUCUUCACCUAGUCGGCUCAGAGAGUCGAACCAGCAUUGUUUUGGUUACUGGUCCAACGCUCUGAACCAGAGUUGUGGACUGGAGUCACAUGACUUGGAUUUGAGUCGGACUCAAAUCACACAUUUGAUGACUUGAGACUGGACUUGGACUUGGAGCAUCAAGACUCCAGACUCAACUUUGUCUUGAGACUGAUGACUUGAAAUGAUCUGGCCAAGUUUUUUAAUGUUUUGUCACUCAUUUUGUGGCACAGUCUACAUGGAUUAAUCUACACGCAGCCAGAAACAGUACCCGCAUCACCGCCCUUGUAAAAAAAAAUGCAACAGAUUGGCACUCCGAUUGGACCAGAAAACUGUCAGUCAACAUAUGUCUCUGUGAGCUCGCGAACAGAUUGCUGAUUUGCUGGAUAGCUACAGGAUUCGGUGCAGCGCAAACGUUAAAUUGUAGCGUGAGAGGUUUACCAUAAAAAUAAAUAUGCAGCUCCAAAAAUAGUUUGCUGAUCAAGAAUAUGAACUGUUUACAUUGCAAGCUAACCAGUAACGGGGCAACAAUUACUAGCAUAGGACUACUGGUCUUUUGGUAUGUAACGAUUGCUUGAUAUUGAUAAUUUACUUAUGAAGUUUGCAUUUGGAAUGUAUUGUUCAAAUCUAAUGUGGCAAGGAAGCACCAUAAACGCUGUUCUCAAUUUGCACUCUCCAAAUUCCCGCCAUUGGAGAGUGCUUUUUUUCCUCUUGUUAAACUAUUUGCUGUUGCUUUCACAUGUUUAAAUGCAUAGGCACUAUGUGGUAAAUCUAUUUCCCAUCUAAUACUGCAAUAAUUGCUAGCGUUUCAUCGUUCCAUUACCUUACAGUUUAUUGAAACACGUAGAGAUAGAUGUCUGUUUCGUGCUUAUUAUGUACUGUAUAGUACUGUACUGUAUCGAUUUGGUUUAUCGGAUAGGACAGGUUAAGCCUGAUACAGAGGCUAUUUCUUUUGGGCUAAUACCCGUGUAUAUUUGGUAAAUCUACUUGUAUAUUUUGUAUGAUAUGGCGCUUUCACCAUUGGAUCACCAAAGACCUGUAAAUAAAUCUACACUCUGAGCACGUCAA